UAGGGAAUCCUCCACAAUGGGCGAAAGCCUGAUGGAGCAACGCCGCGUGUGUGAUGAAGGGUUUCGGCUCGUAAAACACUGUUGUAAGAGAAGAAUGACAUUGAGAGUAACUGUUCAAUGUGUGACGGUAUCUUACCAGAAAGGAACGGCUAAAUACGUGACCAG
rnacentral:rRNA from 1 species